UACGUAGGGCGCAAGCGUUGUCCGGAAUUAUUGGGCGUAAAGAGCUCGUAGGCGGUUUGUCGCGUCUGCCGUGAAAAUCCGGGGCUCAACCCCGGACUUGCGGUGGGUACGGGCAGACUAGAGUGUGGUAGGGGAGACUGGAAUUCCUGGUGUAGCGGUGAAAUGCGCAGAUAUCAGGAGGAACACCGAUGGCGAAGGCAGGUCUCUGGGCCACUACUGACGCUGAGAAGCGAAAGCAUGGGGAGCGAACAGG
rnacentral:rRNA from 1 species